UACGUAGGGGGCCAGCGUUGUCCGAAUUUACUGGGCGUAAAGAGCGCGUAGGCGGGUCUUUAAGUGAGAGGUGAAAUUCUGAGGCUCAACCUCGGAACUGCCUUUCAUACUGGGGACCUUGAGUGCGGGAGAGGCGAGUGGAAUGGUCGGUGUAGCGGUGAGAUGCGUAGAUAUCGAUCGGAACACCCAUGGCGAAGGCAGCUCGCUGGCCUGCAACUGACGCUGAGGCGCGAAAGCCGGGGGAGCAAACAGG
rnacentral:rRNA from 1 species